CAAAGGGAAGUGAAGUAGUUCCAGUUUUCAGUGGGUAAAACUUUGAAAUCAUCUUCAUCACCAGAAGAUGACUAAAAGUUGAAUUGCGCUGUAAAUCUUGUGGAUGAUGUCAUUCAUUUCUUUAUUCUCUAUAAAUACUGUAAAACUUGGCAACAGCUCUGUUUUUCUCUGAGCACUCUUGUUGCUUUCUCAACAAGAGUGGAAGCAGCAAUACUGUCAUUUCCCACAUUUUGAUUACCUUUAUUUUAGUUCCUUUAUUUUAUUCCCUUGACUACAGUCUAAACACAACAUCCACUUCUGCUGCAAAAAUCAUUAAAGUAUGUUGUGAUUAACCUUCACAAUAAAUGAAAAACUAUCUAAACUAUCUAAAUAGAUAAUUGAAAAAUGUUUGGAGAGAAUAAAGCGAUUGUCCUCAGUUUUCUUAUUGAAUGAGUUUGUGUUCUUAGUGUCAAUGGGGGGGAAAAUAACUUUCUUGAAUCAUUUAUAUGUCCUCCCUGCUCUUUGGAAACUCAGCUAUGAACAUGAAACUCUCACUACAGAGUUUCAAAUAUUUGUGGUAUGAACAGGCUUUAACAUUAUUAACGCAAAUAUUUUAUAUGUAUAACAUAGUUUUUUUUCCCCCCAGUGCAUUCCAAAUAAUACAAUACCUUGGAAAGUAUUCAUAUUCUUUUAACCAUUUCAUAUUUUGCUAGAUUGCAACUGAAACACUUCUAUGUAUUUUAAUGGGAUUCUGUGUGAUAGACGAACAUAAAGCAGAGCGCAGAUGUGAGGUCGAAUUUUAAAACGAUGAAUAGUUGCCAACCGUUCUACUAUAGAGCUGAAAGUAUGUUUGUUGUCAUCAUGCCAGAAGGUGAAGCCGGCCUCAAAUCUCUAACAGGUUUGUUCUGCAUUCAGCUCUUUCCAUCGUCCCAUAGACUCUGACCAGCUAAAUCAACCCUACAGCAUGACGCCUCCACCACCUUGUUUCAGAAUGGAAAUUGUGUGCUCAGAAUAAUGCAUGGUGUUAGUUUUGCUUAACACAUGUCUAAAGAUUCUUCCAGAGCAGUUGUGGAUCUCUGCAGCUCCUCCAGAGUUACCACCGGCAUCUGUGAUUCUUCUCUGGUAAUGGUCUCCUUCCUGACCCAUCAGCGCAGGUAGGCGGCCAUGUUUGAACUCUGUUUGAUUCUAUUGCUAGCUGAGCAUAAUUGUUUGAGCUGGAUCUUAAUAAAGGUAUAAAACAAAAGGGGUCUGAAAGUAAAUGAACACCACAGAUUUAGAUUUAUUUGUAGAAAAUAUUUAAAACUUAUAAUUUUCCUCCACUUCAGUUAUCCUCUGGUUUGUCUUGAUCUUUCAUAUAAUAUCCCAAUGAGACCAGGAGAUGUACAUGGUUCUAAUGUGAUAAAAUUUAAAAAUGUUCAAGGGGUAUAAAUACUUUGGCAAUUUGAUGUAUGUAGUCAUAAAAUGUACAAUUCCCUGUAGCCUUAGUUGAAGUAAACAUGCUUUAAAUCUCAUUUAUAAUUUAAAGCUCAGCUGAGUAUGCCUUGGGUUUUACCAUGAUUAAGACCUAAGUGUGCAGAUCUACUAAUGAUUUAAUUCAGAUGUUUGAGAUUUAUAAUGUUUUAAAUUCACAUGAUUUAUCUUGAGUCUGUGCUUUUCUCCCGAAAGUCGAGUGCUGCAUGUGAAACUCCUUGCAAUGUGCAGAACAAUUAAAUCUCUGCCGUGACAAGUGGUGCGUUCUCCUAUGCCCCCACUGGCCUACUAUCGACUCGCAGCUCUCUCUCACACCCCCGCUCCCCCCUUCCCGCCUCCUGCUGUCUCAACAAUUAAAUCAGUCAAGCUGACUCUCUUUCCUGUGUGCUGGGGGCCAGCAGAGGGGAAGUACACAAGGAAAGAAAAGCACUCCCUGAGUUCAAGUGCACAGGCUUUAAAGACACAGCUGGCUUCAGCAAACCCGACCGAUCGACGAGGGAAAAUCAGCCGUGGAAGGGCAGAAUAAUACACCACUGACAACGUGGUGGUGUACGUAGAGGCGGCCCGCUCCGAUUUUCUCAGCAACCCUUUCUGCAGCUCCCAAGACUUUCCAUUUGUUCUCGGGUGAAGCAUCCGGUGGAACUGGUUGUGCAGAGCUCUGGCACAUGCUGUCCCAGAUACACACUCAGCAGCAGCAGCAGUGGAUCAGCGUGCCUCUCACUUUACCGCCUGUGACUUUAUCCGCUGCCUUUCCCCUCCAGCGCUCCUCCUCGCAGGACCGACUUCCUUUGUCCAUAAGGCAUGUUUUCCUUUCAAAGUGCUGAAUGCCAAGGGAUGAAGAACAGACAAAUGGUGUUUGGGGAGAAGAUAGGGAGGCAUCAGUGGAUAAAAUCUGACAUUACUGGAGUGCCGUGGAGAUGCCAGAGUGCAAAACGACUUUAAAAAAAAAAACACAAACGAGACUAAGAAUGAGGGAACGGAGAGGAAGAAUCAGAUUGGAGUCGGGGAAAGAAGAAACUUUGGAAAAAAGCUGGCUUCAGCUCCAGCUUUACAAGGCGCAGGCCAUGAUGUAAGUGAUCUCAAGGUAACAUCUUUCCGGAAUAUUUCUGUGCAAUUUCUCGGCAUGAAAUAUUUUUACGCAAUACACAAACAGACACCGAACAGAUUAGACGGCUGUAUUAAUGAUAAUGGCUCAUGGGAAUUUGGCCAGACUGACCCUCAAGGAAAAUAAUUAAUUUAGGAAGAAAGAAAAAAAAAAGAUGGAAGGAAAUAAGAGAGGCAGAAGCCAAAAGAAAAGAGGAAAAGACAAGCAUCAGACUUUGGUUGCAGUCGGUGUGACUGUACAAUCUUUCCAGAUAAUUUAUGACCGUGCUGGAUAUUUUUUAUCUUUUGGGUGACAGGCAGGGGAUUAAAUAUGCACUCCAAAUGUCCA